UUUGCGAUGAUGAGAUGAAACACUGGACGUGUUUUGGGCAGUGGACAAGCUCAUUCUUACAAAACGACUUCUCCUUCCACUGAGCUCC